GAACGAACGCUGGCGGCAGGCCUAACACAUGCAAGUCGAACGGAUCCUUCGGGAUUAGUGGCAGACGGGUGAGUAACGCGUGGGAAGCUACCUUGUGGUAGGGAACAACAGUUGGAAACGACUGCUAAUACCCUAUGAGCCCUAUGGGGGAAAGAUUUAUCGCCAUGAGAUGUGCCCGCGUUAGAUUAGCUAGUUGGUAAGGUAAUGGCUUACCAAGGCGACGAUCUAUAGCUGGUCUGAGAGGAUGAUCAGCCACACUGGGACUGAGACACGGCCCAGACUCCUACGGGAGGCAGCAGUGGGGAAUAUUGGACAAUGGGGGCAACCCUGAUCCAGCCAUGCCGCGUGAGUGAUGACGGCCUUAGGGUUGUAAAGCUCUUUCAGCAGUGAAGAUAAUGACAUUAACUGCAGAAGAAGCCCCGGCUAACUUCGUGCCAGCAGCCGCGGUAAUACGAAGGGGGCUAGCGUUGUUCGGAAUCACUGGGCGUAAAGCGUACGUAGGCGGACUGAUCAGUCAGGGGUGAAAUCCCGGGGCUCAACCCCGGAACUGCCUUUGAUACUGUCAGUCUUGAGAUCGAGAGAGGUGAGUGGAACUCCGAGUGUAGAGGUGAAAUUCGUAGAUAUUCGGAAGAACACCAGUGGCGAAGGCGGCUCACUGGCUCGAUACUGACG
rnacentral:rRNA from 1 species